CAUCCUCUCGCUGGGCGUGUGCGGCGGCUGCGCUGGGCUCGGCUGAGCCCGGCCCCGGCUGAGCCCGGCCCCGCGUUUGCUCAUCGACGUGGGGAGAGUUGGCGCUGAGGAUGCGCAGCGAACUCCUGCGGGGCUGCUGCCCGAGGGGGUGGGCUGCAGCAGCGGGAGGGCCCGGCGACAGCACCCCCGGAGCCGCGGGAGCCGGCGGGGCACAGUAAUGGUGCGGGAUGGGCCGAUGGUGAGGGCGGGGGGCUCUGUCCCGCUCCCGGGAAGCGGCUGUGCAGGGGAGGGAGCUGCUGUGAUUUCAUGCCAAGUUUUUAACGCGGAGGUUACGGAGACAUAGAAAUGUUAGCUGGAAGCGACCUCUGGAGGUCUCUAGCCCAAACGCCCCCUCGGAGCGGGACCCACGGACAACAGGUCAGGUCAGCUGUGGCUUUACUCGGUGUGAAACUGAAAACCUCCAGGGAUGGAGGUUCCCCCACCUCCCUGUGCGACCCGCGGCAGCGGUGCCCCACCACCUGGUGAAUGAGGUUCUCCUGGGGCCUGUCUGACUCUCCCGCUGACCCUGACCGCUUAUUUAGCUGUCACCUCCUGUUGUGACACCUACUACUGCCAAGAAGAACUUGGCUCCAUCGUCUUAAUAAUUGCCCUUAAGUAGCCGUAAACUGCAAUUAGAUCUGCAGAUUAGAUCUCGCCAAAGCAAACAAACUGCCCCUUCUAGUUCAGGUGCACCAGGUGCUGGAACCUCUUCUCUACAUCUGUUUUUAAAUGGGGGGAGGGAAUUGUUAAUGAUACAGGAAUUAUCUUUAUUUAUUGAUAUUUAUAGGUGGUUUCACUACAGAAAAGGGGGUGAGGAUGCAGCCUAUAUUUAGGCCCUAAAGCGCUAGUGAGGACUGAAAGCCUGAAGAAGUGUCUGGGUUGUCCUAGUUCCACCCGACCUCACAGCAGUUGGGAGAUACUGCUGUCCCUGGCUGCUCAAGCUGAGUGUCAGGGUCUCAUGUCUGGAAGGUGCUUUUUGUCCUUGGUGGUAACAUCACCUGAAAAGAUGGUGAGCAAACAGGACAUGGAGGAGUUAGUCAUCUUCAGAAGUGCUCGGGUUAAGGGAUGUGGUGUGCUAGCAGGGGCAGCCUGAUUUUUAUCUCUGCCCAUGUGGAAGAUUGCAGGCUCCAUGCUCCCAGUGCCUUGCUUUCCACUAACGUUCCAGGGGGAAGGUCUCCAAAACGCACACCAGAGCGAGCUUCAGGAAGUUACCAUAGUUCGGCAUGCUCAUAUCGUGUCAUCACAGUGCAUGAUGCUUAUGUACUGUGCAACUCUACUGCAGCAGGAGUAACAGGGGUCCCAGGUUACAGAGGAGCUGAGCUAGAGAAGGUGCAGGUCAGCCACUGCACAAAACCAUCUGUGCAUUCACAAUAUUUCCUUUAUUCCUGUUUAUACAAAGAAAUUCGGGAUUACAGUCCAGUUUGAAUCAAACUAAAGGCAAGUAGCAGGACAACGCUUGUACCUUCCCACUCUGGUUCCCCGAUAACCUCUUCUAUCAGCUAUUUGCAUUUCAGUGGCUUUCCAAGCCUCUGGUAAUUGUUGAGGGAGGACGUGGGUAAAAGGCUAUUAUAUUAGAGUUAGCAAGCCUGAAGGCAUGAGAGAGCAUCGCAGCAGCUGAUGCAACCCGUGACAGUAUAUUGUUUGCAGUGCUGUUCGAGCCUGGGGUGCACACCAGUGCCUGUGAGUUGAUUCAUAAUUACAAAGAGAAGUAUGAAUGUACCAUUUAAGUGACAGGAGGGCGGGCAGCAGCAGUGCUGUGCUUUGAAACUGGAGGGAAACAGGGCGGUUCAAACUGGGAAUUCGUCUGACUGAACUCCCCAAUAACCAAGGCUGCCAUCUGUGACCGGUGGUGCCCAGCCAGCGCGGGGCUGUGUGCAGCGGCACAAGUUGUGUCUUUAAGGGAAGCCAAGCCCAAGGCAGCUGGAAAGCCUGGGGACCCGCCAGCGAGUGACUCAGCAUCUCCUGACCUGUGCCCGGGAGCCCAGGCUAUUCUUGGUUCCGGGUGUGUUUAAGGCAGGCAGCCCAGACUUAAACACUUCCAGUUGCUCUGCAGAGGAUGUGUCUGUGCUGAGGCUGGAGCUUCGCAUGCAUUAUGUUGUCCAGGGCUGUAGUGCCGUCUUCUUGUUGGAUCGCUUUCCUCCAACAUCAAGGGGGCUAAGGCCUUUUCAUUUUCUUCUCUUGAGCUAGAUUCAACUGUAAUCCUUAAAUAGCGGAAUAAAUGGCCAUUGGAGGAGCUUUCAGUGGGAAAAUAUACUUACUUCCCAUUACGUUUUAAGAGGUAUCAAUGCUCAAUUCUUCUUGCUGCCUUUGAAAAUCUCCUCCCUGGACUUAGCAUGCUUUUGUCUAUCAAAGCAAAAAUAUGCUUAAAGGGAAGGGGAAAUGCUGAUCAGGAAAGGUAAUGCUGGGUCACACAAAAAUCUGGUUUAGAAUCUUUUUCUUCCUGAAUAUUCGAAUCAUUUAGCAGGAUUAAAACAUGUAAUCCGUUAGAUCUCAGAGCCCCUCAAAGGCGCUAAUCUAUUACCCUUGAUAAGUGAUGGACACAUAAAAAGCAUCAAUUUAGCUGCUAGUGGAGUGCUCCUGUUUUAAAAGCUGAAUGAGCUGUCAUGUAGAAAUGCAUAGCCUUGCCACACAGUUAUCUGUGAUGGAAAAUGAAAAUACUAUAGACCAUUUAAAAUGAGCAGUUUCAAAGGCUGAAUUACAUUUUCACCUGUGUCCAUCUCCUGCCUGAGGUAUUGUUGUUUUAUGGCCUUGUUUCCAAAUACAGUAAUCCUUUUUUAAGUAAAAAAUUUGCUAAUUUGGAGUCUUUUAAAUUCCCUUACAAAGCUGGAAUGUGCCUGAUCAGAUCUUCUAAAUGCCUUGUUUUCUAAAGUCCUGAUUAAAGUUGUGAUCCAAGUAGUUCCUUAAAAAAGGCAAGUCAAGCAGUAGUAUGAGAUGGCAACACUACAAACAGCCCUUAUCCUGUGCAACCCCAGCGGCCCUGUGGUUAAGUAUCAGGGGUAUUCCCAGUCUCUUCCAUCACCCGGGAGAAGGAAGGAGCAGCUUUCCCUGGGCAAUGGGCUGUCAGGCCGCCGGGCUGUUGGCUCUGGUCCUGCGCCAGAGCUGACAUCCAACGGAUUUUCCUCCUGCAGUGCCAGCAGCUGAGCUGCGGGAAGGGGCAGGGGCUCGGUUCCCUUCAACUCGUGGUGUUCUGUGGCUGGCUGCAGUGGCUUGCCCUGUGGAAGUCACGGCUGAGUAGAGCUCCCUGUAAACAGACUUACUCUGCUUCUCACUGCCUGCCAAGUGCCGAGUACUGCUUGUCAUAACCAUUUUCUCAGAGAGCCUCCAGUCUGGUUCCUCAAAAAACCGAUACAUUGGGGGAUGUUUAUACAAGCUGAUUUUAAGUAUGUAAUUUCUCUGCCUACAUUAGAUGUCUAGACUCCUGCUGUAAUCAAAAGUGAGGGGCAGGAUCCUAAUUACAGUGCUCUCAGUUACACCCUAAAAGAUCCCUUGCCUGUAUGGAGAGCAUGGGUACAUUACGUAGGUGCUUAAAAUGGGUCUGAAUGUUCCCUGUUGUGUGCUGGGUCUGCCACUGCUACUGCAAACAGGCACAGAACCUCUUUGCCUUGUAUAAAUCAAAUGCUUCAGUUGCACUCUUAAAGGAGAAAUGUUUGUAGCACUUGAAUGGAAAUUAACUGGAGAGUGCAUUUAUUUUUGGCCAGUCCCCUGGGAGCACCUGCCAAACAUUACCUCUCAUUUCAAGCCUGGCUGUUCCUGCUGAGAAAGUCUGAUGGAGCUUCGAGUCUGGGUCAAGGUGAGAUCCUGGCUCUUCAUCAGCUGUCUGUGCCAUUUAAAAGGGAAGGAGGAAAGAAAGCUAAGCAGCGGAUUGGGUAUGAGGAAUGGUGUGCUCCUGCUAGACAGCUCAGCAAUGAGAAGAAACAGGACUGCUUGGGUAUGGUUUAUGUACCGAUUAAAUGCACCUGCUGGUCCCCAAGCAUCAAUGUGCAGUUUUAGAAUGAAAAUGUUGAAUAAUAAAUUAAACUGAGAAAAUUAAUUCCGGCCUCGUCUACUCUGGGACGAUAGCCAAUUGCUUAAAACAAGGCUUACUUGCACCUGUCUGAAACCAGAGUACCUGGCACAAGCCAUGGUGCCUAUGUAAAAGCUCUUCGAGAGUCAUUAAUGCUGUCAUGUGGAUGUGCUCAAGUGUCGGCGAUGGGGACUUCGGUAAUCGGUGGACCAAUCUCUCCACUUCCAUGGAAGCACAACUUGAAUGUGCACAGGGAUGUGUCUUGCAGGGUGCCUCUUUUCCCACUUCCCAGCACCAUGUCACCAGUACCGUGCUAUUCCAGGGCUGGGCAUGGCAGCACUCAUGGGCAGAGAUGCUGAGGAGUUUAUUUACUCAUAAUAACUAUGAUCUCAAAUGGAAGGAUACUGGGACAUUGGGGUCAAUCCACAUUUCUCUCAAAUGCAUUAGAAACUGAUGUUUGCUCUCUAAAUUCCUGAAAAGCAGCAAAACCCGGUGUUUUCGUAUUCUUUUUAUUACUAUUAUUUUAUUUUCCACCAGGGACAGAAAUUGCUGGCUGAGAAUCUGAGGCCUGAACCCAAAGAAAACAUGUCUCAAAAGCAGCGUAACUGCUCUGGCCAAGGUUUUCCUUUCUUCCUCUCUGCCUUACUCCAGAAGUCUGCAGAAUCCAAAAGGCAGCUUUAGAGUGUAAGGUUCAAAAGCUCUGCUCAUGCCUCUGGUACUUUCUCUAUGACUCUGCUGUAAAUGUGAGAGUUUAAAACCCCAAGUGUCAGAGAUGGACAAGUUCUUCUCAGACCAGUGCACAGUUGUUCCCUUUUUGGGAGCACUCAGGGUCCCUGCAGGCUGGUAAUCUCUACUACAUGAGCUGCAUUGAUAGGAAUUUGAUGUUUUUAACUUAAUAUUAUGGGGGUAAUUUUCUUUUAUCAACCCCUGAGGAUGUAUAUUAAGUGCUAUUACGUAUGACUUAAAUACAGGAAAAAUCUA